rnacentral:rRNA from 1 species
UACGAAGGGGGCUAGCGUUGCUCGGAAUCACUGGGCGUAAAGCGCACGUAGGCGGACUCUUAAGUCGGUGGUGAAAUCCUGGAGCUCAACUCCAGAACUGCCUUCGAUACUGGGAGUCUCGAGUCCGAGAGAGGUGAGUGGAACUGCGAGUGUAGAGGUGAAAUUCGUAGAUAUUCGCAAGAACACCAGUGGCGAAGGCGGCUGACUGGUCCGGAUCGUGACGCUGAG